AGAAAGCCGCGCUGGGAGCUGACGAGUGGCGGACGGGUGAGUAAUGUCUGGGAAACUGCCUGAUGGAGGGGGAUAACUACUGGAAACGGUGGCUAAUACCGCAUAACGUCGCAAGACCAAAGAGGGGGACCUUCGGGCCUCUUGCCAUCAGAUGUGCCCAGAUGGGAUUAGCUUGUUGGUGAGGUAACGGCUCACCAAGGCGACGAUCCCUAGCUGGUCUGAGAGGAUGACCAGCCACACUGGAACUGAGACACGGUCCAGACUCCUACGGGAGGCAGCAGUGGGGAAUAUUGCACAAUGGGCGCAAGCCUGAUGCAGCCAUGCCGCGUGUAUGAAGAAGGCCUUCGGGUUGUAAAGUACUUUCAGCGGGGAGGAAGGUGUUGUGGUUAAUAACCGCAGCAAUUGACGUUACCCGCAGAAGAAGCACCGGCUAACUCCGUGCCAGCAGCCGCGGUAAUACGGAGGGUGCAAGCGUUAAUCGGAAUUACUGGGCGUAAAGCGCACGCAGGCGGUCUGUCAAGUCGGAUGUGAAAUCCCCGGGCUCAACCUGGGAACUGCAUUCGAAACUGGCAGGCUUGAGUCUUGUAGAGGGGGGUAGAAUUCCAGGUGUAGCGGUGAAAUGCGUAGAGAUCUGGAGGAAUACCGGUGGCGAAGGCGGCCCCCUGGACAAAGACUGACGCUCAGGUGCGAAAGCGUGGGGAGCAAACAGGAUUAGAUACCCUGGUAGUCCACGCCGUAAACGAUGUCUACUUGGAGGUUGUGCCCUUGAGGCGUGGCUUCCGGAGCUAACGCGUUAAGUAGACCGCCUGGGGAGUACGGCCGCAAGGUUAAAACUCAAAUGAAUUGACGGGGGCCCGCACAAGCGGUGGAGCAUGUGGUUUAAUUCGAUGCAACGCGAAGAACCUUACCUGGUCUUGACAUCCACAGAAGAAUCCAGAGAUGGAUUUGUGCCUUCGGGAACUGUGAGACAGGUGCUGCAUGGCUGUCGUCAGCUCGUGUUGUGAAAUGUUGGGUUAAGUCCCGCAACGAGCGCAACCCUUAUCCUUUGUUGCCAGCGGUCCGGCCGGGAACUCAAAGGAGACUGCCAGUGAUAAACUGGAGGAAGGUGGGGAUGACGUCAAGUCAUCAUGGCCCUUACGACCAGGGCUACACACGUGCUACAAUGGCGCAUACAAAGAGAAGCGACCUCGCGAGAGCAAGCGGACCUCAUAAAGUGCGUCGUAGUCCGGAUUGGAGUCUGCAACUCGACUCCAUGAAGUCGGAAUCGCUAGUAAUCGUGGAUCAGAAUGCCACGGUGAAUACGUUCCCGGGCCUUGUACACACCGCCCGUCACACCAUGGGAGUGGGUUGCAAAAGAAGUAGGUAGCUUAACCUUCGGGAGGGCGCUUACCACUUUGUGAUUCAUGACUGGGGUGAAGUCGUAACAAGGUAACCGUAGGGGAACCUGCGGUUGGAUCACCUCCUUACCUGUGGGUUGCAAAAGAAGUAGGUAGCUUAACCUUCGGGAGGGCGCUUACCACUUUGUGAUUCAUGACUGGGGUGAAGUCGUAACAAGGUAACCGUAGGGGAACCUGCGGUUGGAUCACCUCCUUACCUGAAAGAAGC
rnacentral:rRNA from 1 species